rnacentral:rRNA from 1 species
GAUGAACGCUGGCGGCGUGCUUAACACAUGCAAGUCGAACGGAGUUGUUUCGCUGACGAGACUUCGGUCAAAUCUUGAAACAACUUAGUGGCGGACGGGUGAGUAACGCGUGGGUAACCUGCCAUAUACAGGGGGAUAACACUUAGAAAUAGGUGCUAAUACCGCAUAAGCGCACAGUUCUGCAUGGAACAGUGUGAAAAACUCCGGUGGUAUAUGAUGGACCCGCGUCUGAUUAGCUAGUUGGUGAGGUAACGGCCCACCAAGGCAACGAUCAGUAGCCGGCCUGAGAGGGUGAACGGCCACAUUGGGACUGAGACACGGCCCAAACUCCUACGGGAGGCAGCAGUGGGGAAUAUUGCACAAUGGGGGAAACCCUGAUGCAGCGACGCCGCGUGAGUGAAGAAGUAUUUCGGUAUGUAAAGCUCUAUCAGCAAGGAAGAAAAUGACGGUACUUGACUAAGAAGCCCCGGCUAACUACGUG